UACAUAGGAUGCAAGCGUUAUCCGGAUUUACUGGGCGUAAAGCGAGCGCGGGCGGAUUUGCAAGUCUGGUGUUAAAUACAACUGCUUAACGGUUGUAUGCAUUGGAAACUGCAAGUCUAGAGUGUAGUAGGGAGUUUUGGAACUCCAUGUGGAGCGGUGGAAUGCGUAGAUAUAUGGAAGAACACCAGUGGCGAAGGCGAAAACUUAGGCUACAACUGACGCUUAGGCUCGAAAGUGUGGGGAGCAAAUAG
rnacentral:rRNA from 1 species